rnacentral:rRNA from 1 species
GGAAUAUUGGACAAUGGGCGCAAGCCUGAUCCAGCCAUGCCGCGUGAGUGAUGAAGGCCCUAGGGUUGUAAAGCUCUUUUGUGUGGGAAGAUCAUGACUGUACCACCAGAAUAAGCCCCGGCUAACUUCGUGCCAGCAGCCGCGGUAAUACGAAGGGGGCUAGCGUUGUUCGGAUUUACUGGGCGUAAAGCGCACGUAGGCGGAUCUUUAAGUCAGGGGUGAAAUCCCAGAGCUCAACUCUGGAACUGCCUUUGAUACUGGGGAUCUCGAGUUCGGGAGAGGUGAGUGGAACUGCGAGUGUAGAGGUGAAAUUCGUAGAUAUUCGCAAGAACACCAGUGGCGAAGGCGGCUCACUGGCCCGAUACUGACGCUGAGGUGCGAAAGCGUGGGGAGCAAAC